rnacentral:rRNA from 1 species
UACGGAGGGUGCAAGCGUUAUCCGGAUUCACUGGGUUUAAAGGGUGCGUAGGAGGGCAGGUAAGUCAGUGGUGAAAUCUCCAAGCUUAACUUGGAAACUGCCGUUGAUACUAUCUGUCUUGAAUACCGUGGAGGUGAGCGGAAUAUGUCAUGUAGCGGUGAAAUGCUUAGAUAUGACAUAGAACACCAAUUGUGAAGGCAGCGCGCUACACGAAUAUUGACUCUGAGGCACGAAAGCGUGGGGAUCAAACCGG